rnacentral:rRNA from 2 species
GAACACUGGGAGCUUGCUCCUGGUGAUUAGCGGCGGACGGGUGAGUAACACGUGGGCAACCUGCCUGUAAGACUGGGAUAACACCGGGAAACCGGUGCUAAUACCGGAUAAUCCUUUUCCUCUCAUGAGGGAAAGUUGAAAGUCGGUUUCGGCUGACACUUACAGAUGGGCCCGCGGCGCAUUAGCUAGUUGGUGAGGUAACGGCUCACCAAGGCGACGAUGCGUAGCCGACCUGAGAGGGUGAUCGGCCACACUGGGACUGAGACACGGCCCAGACUCCUACGGGAGGCAGCAGUAGGGAAUCUUCCACAAUGGACGAAAGUCUGAUGGAGCAACGCCGCGUGAGCGAUGAAGGCCUUCGGGUCGUAAAGCUCUGUUGUUAGGGAAGAACAAGUAUCGGAGUAACUGCCGGUACCUUGACGGUACCUAACCAGAAAGCCACGGCUAACUACGUGCCAGCAGCCGCGGUAAUACGUAGGUGGCAAGCGUUGUCCGGAAUUAUUGGGCGUAAAGCGCGCGCAGGCGGUCCUUUAAGUCUGAUGUGAAAGCCCACGGCUCAACCGUGGAGGGUCAUUGGAAACUGGGGGACUUGAGUGCAGAAGAGGAAAGCGGAAUUCCACGUGUAGCGGUGAAAUGCGUAGAGAUGUGGAGGAACACCAGUGGCGAAGGCGGCUUUCUGGUCUGUAACUGACGCUGAGGCGCGAAAGCGUGGGGAGCAAACAGGAUUAGAUACCCUGGUAGUCCACGCCGUAAACGAUGAGUGCUAAGUGUUAGAGGGUUUCCGCCCUUUAGUGCUGCAGCUAACGCAUUAAGCACUCCGCCUGGGGAGUACGGCCGCAAGGCUGAAACUCAAAGGAAUUGACGGGGGCCCGCACAAGCGGUGGAGCAUGUGGUUUAAUUCGAAGCAACGCGAAGAACCUUACCAGGUCUUGACAUCCUUUGACACUCCUAGAGAUAGGACGUUCCCCUUCGGGGGACAGAGUGACAGGUGGUGCAUGGUUGUCGUCAGCUCGUGUCGUGAGAUGUUGGGUUAAGUCCCGCAACGAGCGCAACCCUUGAUCUUAGUUGCCAGCAUUCAGUUGGGCACUCUAAGGUGACUGCCGGUGACAAACCGGAGGAAAGGGGGGGAUGACGUCAAAUCAUCAUGCCCCUUAUGACCUGGGCUACCCACGUGUACAAUGGAUGGUACAAAGGGCAGCAAAGCCGCGAGGCCUAGCCAAUCCCCUAAAACCAUUUUCAGUUCGGAUUGUAGGCUGCAACUUGCCUACAUGAAGCCGGAAUCGCUAGUAAUCGCGGAUCAGCAUGCCGCGGUGAAUACGUUUCCGGGCCUUGUACACACCGCCCGUCACACCACGAGAGUUUGUAACACCCGAAGUCGGUGGGGUAACCUUAGGAGCCAGCCGCC